rnacentral:rRNA from 1 species
CCCUAGUAACGGCGAGUGAAGCGGCAACAGCUCAAAUUUGAAAUCUGGCCUCGGCCCGAGUUGUAAUUUGCAGAGGAAGCUUUAGGCGCGGCACCUUCUGAGUCCCCUGGAACGGGGCGCCAUAGAGGGUGAGAGCCCCGUAUAGUUGGAUGCCUAGCCUGUGUAAAGCUCCUUCGACGAGUCGAGUAGUUUGGGAAUGCUGCUCAAAAUGGGAGGUAAAUUUCUUCUAAAGCUAAAUACCGGCCAGAGACCGAUAGCGCACAAGUAGAGUGAUCGAAAGAUGAAAAGCACUUUGAAAAGAGGGUUAAAUAGCACGUGAAAUUGUUGAAAGGGAAGCGCUUGUGACCAGACUUGCGCCGGGCUGAUCAUCCGGUGUUCUCACCGGUGCACUCGGCCCGGCUCAGGCCAGCAUCGGUUCUCGCGGGGGGAUAAAGGCCCUGGGAACGUAGCUCCUCCGGGAGUGUUAUAGCCCAGGGCGUAAUGCCCUCGCGGGGACCGAGGUUCGCGCAUCUGCAAGGAUGCUGGCGUAAUGGUCAUCAGCGACCCGUCUUGAAACACGGACCAAGGAGUCAAGGUUUUGCGCGAGUGUUUGGGUGUAAAACCCGCACGCGUAAUGAAAGUGAACGUAGGUGAGAGCUUCGGCGCAUCAUCGACCGAUCCUGAUGUUUUCGGAUGGAUUUGAGUAGGAGCGUUAAGCCUUGGACCCGAAAGAUGGUGAACUAUGCUUGGAUAGGGUGAAGCCAGAGGAAACUCUGGUGGAGGCUCGCAGCGGUUCUGACGUGCAAAUCGAUCGUCAAAUCUGAGCAUGGGGCGAAAGACUAAUCGA